CCUACGGGAGGCAGCAGUGAGGAAUAUUGGUCAAUGGACGCAAGUCUGAACCAGCCAUGCCGCGUGCAGGAAGACGGCUCUAUGAGUUGUAAACUGCUUUUGUACGAGGGUAAACGCAGAUACGCGUAUCUGUCUGAAAGUAUCGUACGAACAAGGAUCGGCUAACUCCGUGCCAGCAGCCGCGGUAAUACGGAGGAUUCAAGCGUUAUCCGGAUUUAUUGGGGUUAAAGGGUGCGUAGGCGGUCGGAUAAGUUAGAGGUGAAAGCCCGGGGCUCAACGUCGGAAUUGCCUCUGAUACUGUUCGGCUAGAGAGUAGUAGCGGUAGGCGGAAUGAAUGGUGUAGCGGUGAAAUGCUUAGAGAUCAGACAGAACACCGAUUGCGAAGGCAGCUUACCAAGCUACUUCUGACGUUGAGGCACGAAAGCGUGGGGAGCAAACAGGAUUAGAUACCCGAGUAGUC
rnacentral:rRNA from 1 species